rnacentral:rRNA from 1 species
GAUGAACGCUGGCGGCGUGCCUAAUACAUGCAAGUCGAGCGAACAGACGAGGAGCUUGCUCCUCUGACGUUAGCGGCGGACGGGUGAGUAACACGUGGAUAACCUACCUAUAAGACUGGGAUAACUUCGGGAAACCGGAGCUAAUACCGGAUAAUAUAUUGAACCGCAUGGUUCAAUAGUGAAAGACGGUUUUGCUGUCACUUAUAGAUGGAUCCGCGCCGCAUUAGCUAGUUGGUAAGGUAACGGCUUACCAAGGCAACGAUGCGUAGCCGACCUGAGAGGGUGAUCGGCCACACUGGAACUGAGACACGGUCCAGACUCCUACGGGAGGCAGCAGUAGGGAAUCUUCCGCAAUGGGCGAAAGCCUGACGGAGCAACGCCGCGUGAGUGAUGAAGGUCUUCGGAUCGUAAAACUCUGUUAUUAGGGAAGAACAAAUGUGUAAGUAAUUAUGCACGUCUUGACGGUACCUAAUCAGAAAGCCACGGCUAACUACGU